rnacentral:tRNA from 1 species
AGCGGGUGGGUCAGACGGCAAGACGCUGGGCUCAUAACCCGGAGAAGUUGGUUCAACUCCAGCACCCGCUACCA